rnacentral:rRNA from 1 species
AGAGUUUGAUCCUGGCUCAGGACGAACGCUGGCGGCGUGCUUAAUACAUGCAAGUCGAACGAAGCUGCAUAUAGGAAGCCUUCGGGUGGAAUAGAUGUAGACUUAGUGGCGGACGGGUGAGUAACGCGUGAGCAACCUGCCCAUAAGAGGGGGACAACAGUUGGAAACGACUGCUAAUACCGCAUAAGACCACACUAUCGCAUGAUAGAGGGGUCAAAGAAAUAUCGCUUAUGGAUGGGCUCGCGUCCCAUUAGGUAGUUGGUGAGGUAACGGCCCACCAAGCCGACGAUGGGUAGCCGACCUGAGAGGGUGAUCGGCCACAUUGGAACUGAGACACGGUCCAAACUCCUACGGGAGGCAGCA